GUUCAUUACACAACACUAUUUAGAAAUGCAGAAAACCAACUGUGAAAUUUUAAAUGAGAAUACACUGUUUACCUGCUAAAUUCAAGAGAGGAAGAGAGGUCAGGGAGAAAGAAGGGACGAUGGUGAGGAGGAAAGAAAAAAAAAGAGACAGGAAAAGGUGAGAAGAAAGACAAUGCAAAGAAGUAGAAAGAGUGAGGAAAGAAAGUUAAAAGAACUAAGAGCAUUCAGAAGGUGAAAGAAGAUCAUUACUCAGUAGGACCUCUUCAAAGGAUGCUUACUCACGAAAUCCAGCUGGCAUGCUCUGAAGAAGCCCAAGAAGUCCUUGAAGAAACCCAUGUGGAGAGAAACAGCUGGUCCUGGUCUGCACUCCUGGCCAUGUGGGUGAGCCACAUUGAAAGCGAAUCCUGCAGGUCCCAGUUGAAUGCCUCCCCAGAUGUCUGGUGGAUCCAAGAAGGGCUGUCUCAGCCAAACUCUACCUUAUUUGUGAGCAGAUAAAUGACUGGUAUUGUCUAAAGCAAUUUUUAGGUGAGACUCCGUUAUCUCCAGCAUCACAAACAAAGCUGGAAGCAUUCCCCCUGAAAACCGGCACAAGGCAAAGAUGCCUUCUGUCGCCACUCUUAUUCAGCAUAGCAUUGAAAGUUCUGGCAAGAGCAAUCGAGCAAGAGAAAAAAAUAAAGUGCACCCAAAUCAGAAGAGAGGAAGUCCACCUAUCUUUGUUUGCAGACAACACGAUCCUGUAUCUAGAAAACCCCAUUGUCUCGGCCUAAACACUUCUUAAAGUAAGUAAGCAGAAAAGUCUCAGGAUACAAAAUCAAUUGCAAAAAUCAUUAGAUUGCCUAUACACCAACAACAGUCAAACCAAGAGCCAGAUCAGGAACAAACUCCCAUUCACAAUAAGGUAUUUUAAUCACAAAAACAUUAAAAUACCUAGGAAUACAGCUAACCCGGAUCUCUGCAAGGAGAACUACCCAAACCGCUGGUCAAAGAAAUCAGAAUGACACAAACAAAUGGAAAAACACUCCAUGCUCAUGGAUAGGAAGAAUCAUUAUUGUUAAAAUGGCUAUAUCGCCCAAAGCACUUUAAAGAUUCAAUGCUAUUUCUAUUAAACCACCAUUGAGAUUCUUCACAGAACUGGAAAAAAAAGUUAAAAAUUAAUAUGUAACUAAAAAAGAACCUGAAUAACUAAGGCAAUGCUAAGCAAAAAGAAGAAAGCUGGAGGCAUCACGCUAACUGACUUUGUACUACAGAGCUACAGCAACCAAAACAGCAUGGUACUGGUACGGAUACACAUAGACCAAAUGAACAGAAUAGAGAAUCCAAAAAUAAUACUGCACACCUACAACAAUCUGAUCUUUGGAAAACCUGACAAAAACAAGCAAUGGGGAAAGGAUUCCCUAUUCAAUAAAUAGUGCUGUGAUAACUGGCUACCCAUAAGCAGAAGAUUAAAACUGGACCCCUUCCUAACACCAUAUACAAAAAUUAACUCAAGAUGGAUUAGAGACUUAAAUGUAAAAUCUGAGACUAAAAAAACCCUGGAAGACAACCUAAGUAAUACCAUCCAGAACAUAGAAAUGGGCAAAGAUAUCAUGAUGAUGAUGAUAAAACCAAUUGUAACAAAAGCAAAAACUGAUAAGUGGGAUCUAAUUAAACUAAAGAGUUUCUGCACAGCAAAAGAAACAUCAACAGAGUAAACAGACAACCUACAGAAUGAGAGAAAAUGUUUGCAAAAUAUGCAUCUGACAAAGGUCUAAUAUCCAGCAUCUAUAAGGAACUUAAAUUUACCAAAAAAAAACCCAUAAAAAAGUGGGAAAAAGACUAGAACAGACACUUUUCAAAAGACAUUCAUGUGUCCAAUAUCAUAUUUUUUAAAAGAGCUCAAUAUCACUGAUUAUUAGAGAAAUGCAAACCAAAACCACAAUGAGAUACCAUCUCACAUCAGUCAGAAUGGCUAUUACUUAAAAGUCAGAAAAUAAAAGAUGCUGGUGAGGUUGUGGAGAAAAAGGAAUGCUUAUACACUAUUGGUAGGAGUGUAAAUUAGUUAAACCAUUGUGGAAGACAGUGGCGAUUCCUCAAAGACUUAAAAACAGAAAUACCAUUUGACCUAGCAAUCCCAUUACUAGGUAUAUACCCAAAGGAAUAUAAAUCAUUCUAUUAUAAAAACACAUGCACACAUAUGUUUAUUGCAACACUAUUCACAAGAGCAAAGACAUGGAAUCAACCUAAAUGCCCAUCAAUGAUUGAUUGGAGAAAGAACACAUGCUAUAUAUACACCAUGGAAGACUAUGCAGCCAUAAAAAAGAAUGAGAUCACAUCCUUUGCAGGGACAUGGAUGGAGGUGGAAGCCAUAAUCCUAAGCAAACUAAUGGAGGAAAAGAAUACUAGAUACCACAUGUUCUCACUUACAAGUGGGAGCUAAAUGAUGGGAACAUGUGGACACAUAGAGGGUAGCAACACAUACUGGUGCCUGUUAGAGGGUGGAGGGUGAGAGGAGGGAGAGAAUCAGGAAAAUUAUCUAACGGGAACUAGGCUUAAUACCUAGAUGAUAAAAUAAUCUGUACAACAAACCCCCAUGACACAAGUUUAACUAUGUAACGAACCUUCACUUGUACCCCUGAACUUAAAAUAAAAGUUAAAAAAAAGUGUAGCACUAUUGCGUCCAGAUUUUGUUUACUGUUGUUGUUGUCAUUUUUUAAUAGACUGUUUUAAGAAUCCUGUAUCAUCAAGACUCCUGUUGGCACAUAGGGCAGUAUUGUGUAGGAAGAGCUCAU
rnacentral:lncRNA from 10 species